rnacentral:rRNA from 1 species
UACAGAGGGUGCAAGCGUUGUUCGGAGUUAUUGGGCGUAAAGCGCGUGUAGGCGGCUUUGCAAGUCGGGUGUGAAAGCCCUCAGCUUAACUGAGGAAGUGCGCCCGAAACUGCUUGGCUUGAGUACCGGAGAGGAUGGCGGAAUUCCCCAAGUAGAGGUGAAAUUCGUAGAUAUGGGGAGGAACACCGGUGGCGAAGGCGGCCAUCUGGACGGAUACUGACGCUGAGACGCGAAAGCGUGGGUAGCAAACAGG